rnacentral:lncRNA from 1 species
UAGUGGGAGUUGUGCAUGUAAUCCUUUGAUCUGAGAUUACCAUAGAAUUUUGUAUACAUGAAUCCAUAUUUUGGUUCAUACUCAUUCAUGACUUAGUCAUGUACGGAGUGAUCUGGAUAUGGUAGAAUGUGUAUGGAGGUUGUAAGUAGGUCAACUGGAAUCGAUCACUCCUGGUAAGAGAAGAUCGCAUCCUACUUACUCUGAUC